rnacentral:tRNA from 1 species
GCCCCGGUAUUCCAACCGGCAGAGAAGGCGCCCUCAAAAGGCGCACAGUGUGGGUUCGAAUCCCACCCGGGGUA